GACGAACCGUGCGAACGUUAUUCGGAUUCACUGGGCUUAAAGCGCGUGUAGGCGGCCCGGCACGUCCGUCGCUGAAAGCCCCGGCUCAACCGGGGAAGGGCGCGGAUACGGCCGGGCUGGAGGGGGUAGGGGAGCCGGAACGGCCGGUGGAGCGGUGAAAUGCGUUGAGAUCGGCCGGAACGCCCGCGGCGAAAGCGGGCUCCUGGGCCCCGCCUGACGCUGAGACGCGAAAGCCAGGGGAGCGAACGGG
rnacentral:rRNA from 1 species